UCGAGAAGCUUCGGCAAUGGGCGAAAGCCUGACCGAGCGAUGCCGCGUGAGCGAAGAAGGCCCUAUGGGUUGUAAAGCUCUGUCAGAUUGGGAAGAAAGCUCCGGGGUUAAUACCCUCGGAGUGUGACGGUACCAUCAGAGGAAGCACCGGCUAACUCCGUGCCAGCAGCCGCGGUAAUACGGAGGGUGCAAGCGUUGUUCGGAUUCACUGGGUAUAAAGGGUGCGCAGGCGGCCUGACAAGUCAGGGGUGAAAUAUGACGGCUCAACCGUCAAACUGCCUCUGAAACUGUCAGGCUUGAGUCCGGGAGAGGUAGGUGGAAUUCCAGGUGUAGCGGUGAAAUGCGUAAAUAUCUGGAGGAACACCGGUGGCGAAGGCGGCCUACUGGCCCGGUAAUGACGCUCAGGCACGAAAGCUUGGGGAGCAAACAGGAUUAGAUACCCUGGUAGUCCACGCCGUAAACGAUGGGUACUAGGUGUUGCGGGUAUUGACCCCUGCAAGUGCCAAAAGCUAACGCAUUAAGUACCCCGCCUGGGGGAGUACGGCCGCAAGGCUAA
rnacentral:rRNA from 1 species